rnacentral:tRNA from 1 species
AAAUUUUAGUUAAACCAAAUAACCUUGAGUUGUCAACUCAAAAUUGUAGAAAUACAA